UGUGUCUUCGAGUCGUUGAUUUCACACUGCCGAGAAAAGCCUCUAGAUAGAAAAUAGGUGCCCGUACCGCAAACCGACACAGGUAGUCAAGAUGAGAAUUCUAAGGUGAGCGAGCGAACUCUCGUUAAGGAACUCGGCAAAAUGACCCCGUAACUUCGGGAGAAGGGGUGCUCUUUAGGGUUAACGCCCAGAAGAGCCGCAGUGAAUAGGCCCAAGCGACUGUUUAUCAAAAACACAGGUCUCUGCUAAACCGUAAGGUGAUGUAUAGGGGCUGACGCCUGCCCGGUGCUGGAAGGUUAAGAGGAGUGGUUAGCUUCUGCGAAGCUACGAAUCGAAGCCCCAGUAAACGGCGGCCGUAACUAUAACGGUCCUAAGGUAGCGAAAUUCCUUGUCGGGUAAGUUCCGACCCGCACGAAAGGCGUAACGAUUUGGGCACUGUCUCAACGAGAGACUCGGUGAAAUCAUAGUACCUGUGAAGAUGCAGGUUACCCGCGACAGGACGGAAAGACCCCGUGGAGCUUUACUGUAGCCUGAUAUUGAAAUUCGGCACAGCUUGUACAGGAUAGGUAGGAGCCUUUGAAACGUGAGCGCUAGCUUACGUGGAGGCGCUGGUGGGAUACUACCCUAGCUGUGUUGGCUUUCUAACCCGCACCACUUAUCGUGGUGGGAGACAGUGUCAGGCGGGCAGUUUGACUGGGGCGGUCGCCUCCUAAAAGGUAACGGAGGCGCUCAAAGGUUCCCUCAGAAUGGUUGGAAAUCAUUCAUAGAGUGUAAAGGCAUAAGGGAGCUUGACUGCGAGACCUACAAGUCGAGCAGGGUCGAAAGACGGACUUAGUGAU
rnacentral:rRNA from 1 species